CCCUUAGAUGUUCUGGGCCGCACGCGUGCUACACUGAGUAAAUCAAUGGGUAAGGGAACCCGAAAGUGCAACCUAAUCUUCAAAUUUGCUCGUGAUGGGGAUCGACGGUUGCAAUUUUCCGUCGUGAACGAGGAAUACCUUGUAGGCGCGUGUCAUCAUCACGCGCCGAAUACGUCCCUGCCCUUUGUACACACCGCCCGUCGCUCCUACCGAUUGAGUGAUCCGGUGAGGCUCUGGGACCUGGACGGAAAGAGCGUUUCGCUUGUUCUGUUUGGGAAACUUGGUCGAACCUUAUCAUUUAGAGGAAGGAGAAGUCGUAACA
rnacentral:rRNA from 1 species